AGAAGAUGGCCUACUUAAAGAACUGGGGAGAAGGCUGGGGCUUUGUGCCUUCUGACAGAGCCCUGGUCUUCGUGGAUAACCACGACAACCAGCGGGGGCACGGGGCAGGUGGAGCUUCCAUUCUUACCUUCUGGGAUGCCAGGCUUUAUAAGAUGGCAGUUGGUUUCAUGCUCGCUCAUCCGUACGGGCUCACGCGGGUGAUGUCAAGUUAUCGUUGGCCAAGAUAUUUCCAGAACGGAGUGGUGAGUUUGUAGCGCUGAAGAUCUGGGCAUGUCAAACAUGAAUGAUUUCUCU